CUGGACUUGGCCAGUGUCUCCCACAGCAUGUUCAUUUUUUUUUUUUUUCUGGGAGGACUACAACUUUGGGAUCCUCAGCCUUUUCUGAUUUAUGUCCCUUUGCUUGUGGUGUUUUGUACUCUCCGUCCAGUGUGCAGGCUCUCUGUCUACAGAUACAUUUCACCUAAGAGCUACUGUCUGUGGCACAGCUUCACACUCUCCUGAUGGGAGCCUUUCACAGCUCUUCACAGAUGUCAGAGCCACUGCAACAGAUCAACAGAUGAGGAAAAGGAGUGGACUUGACUGGCCCAAGUGGAAAUUUUCUAUCCACUCCACCUCCCCUGAAGGCAUGUCUUGGGUAGAUGGACCACAAGUUUCUGAUUCACUGCAAAAAAUUAUCUGGUGUGGAAGGAUUUGCUUAGAGCCCGGUUCCAAGCUAACCUCCAGAGCCAUCCCAACCAAACUGAAGUGCUACAAUUAGGAGCAUGAUCACCUGAGGCCCCCUGUGGAUUUGAUGGAGAAGGAUGGUCUUUGCAGAGGGAGGCUUGGACCUCAGGCUGUAAAAAUAGGAAAGACACUGGUACUGGUUCUGGAAGAAGACUUACAGACCGACAGCCUGAGAGCCACCAGCAGCCUGGGAUCCAGAUGGAGAAAUGAACCUCACGGAAACCAAAUCCAUAGAGGAUCCACAGGGAGAUGAAUUCCUGAAGCUGAAUGUGAGCUGAUUUGGGGAGUACAUUGCAUAUUGAAGUAAAUCAUGACACUGCUGUAAGGCACAGAUAACCAAGGUUCAAAUCCCUGUACUCUCUUUGGUUCACACAGGGGGGUUGAACCAAAAUCUUCCACAUCUCAAAGUGCUCUAUCUGAAACUAGUGCAUGUGGCUUUCUCAAUUUCUCCUUCUGGACAUGUUCUCUUGUGAGUAAAAAUUUGCAUAUGAAGAAAGAAGAAAUGAUUCUCCAGCCUUAGGAUUUGAAAUCUUACCUCAGUCGGGGUGUGGUUAUGUAUACUGCUCUCACUCGGGUUUCAGCCAGGGAAAGCAAGCU